AUCUCUGGAAAACGAGACUUGCCUAACUUUUCAACUGCGGCGUUUAAGUCAAUGGAGACCGUCAGGUCUGCUCGCAGCCCCUCCAUCCGCCAGCAACAGCCUUGCCUUUCCCGAUCCUUCCUCCGCAACUCCCCCACCCCGGGGGGGGGGGGGGGGAGCUGGUGGCUGACCCUGGCGGAGGGAAGGUGACCCCCGGACCCCCGUCCUUACCUUCCUCUCGGAACACUCGGGGCGCCUAAGGCAGCAGCGCAGGCACGCGUCCCAGCAACAGUGACGGAGAGACGCCCCUUCGGUCCCGAGCCCCGGAGCCCAUCUUUCCCCGGCUAAGCUUAAAAAAUCAGGAUGGAUUUUUUUUUUUUUAACGCGCACAUAAGAGAAGUAAAAGAACGCGGGGAUCGGGGGUGGAGGGAGAGAGAAUCAAAGAGGGGAGGGCUGGGGGAAUAAAAGCCCCCCAGGAACCCGGAGCCUACGCCGUAGCCAAGUGAAUCCAACCUCCCACCGAGGCGCCGGCGGGAGCGGGGAGAGCCCCCGAAGACAGACGCUAAGGAAUUAAAAAAAAAAAAAAAGGAAGUGGCUUCACAGCCACUGGAGCUGUUUUUCCAGACCUGCCCCCCCAGCAAAGCAAUCGGCCAGGAAGCCAAGGAAGCGCGCCGAGCAGAGGCGGCGGCGCGGCCGAUGCGCCGGGGCGGCGGGUUCACUCCGCGGGCGCCCGCGGCCGCCUCGGGAGGCUGGGGCUCCUGUCUUCCCCUCUCCCCGCUCUCCUCCCGCCCCUCCGUCUCCUCCCGCCCCACAGCCCGCAGAGAGUCGAUAGAAUUGAAUCCAGCAAGGAACCAGAACCGGUGCAUCAACCUCAGGCGUGAGUGAAUUUGCAGUUUGCUCUCCGUCUUCUGGUGCUGAGGAUAUUUCAGCUCCAAUACCUUCCUUCUCUCCCUCCUCUAGUCGGUAUCUCUUCUUGCCUGUUCACUGGGUGCCAGUCCCUGUAUGACAGCUGUUGUACUGUACUACUGUACUUUUCAAGGUACUGUACUGUCAAAUUAAAAAUGUUUUAUUUUUUGUACUUGCUUUUAUGUGUUAUUUGUGGGAAAAGUAUUGUAAACCUACUACAGUACAGUGCUAUAUAGCCAAUUGUGUUAGUUGGGUACCUAGGCUAACUUUGUUGGACUUAAAAAUAGAUUGGACUUACAAACAUGCUCCUAGAAUGAAAAUUGUUCAUAUGGAGGGGCUUACUUUAUUAAGCGAAUGAGUUGGUUGGAAUUUGCAACAUGAUAAACCCCAUAGGUUGAUAUUAGCUGCGCCCACUGGAGUAUUUUCUGUUUUAACAGCUGUGUAACAUAUAUAUGUGUCACAGCUCAGCUAGAGUUCUUUCUUCCCUGGACUUUAUUUCUUGCAGUCACUUCUCAUGUGCCUUGUCUCCAUCUAUAUGGCUGCUUUCAGUUGACUUUAUUUCAGUUUGCCACAUUUCUUGGAUGCCCUGAUUUUAAAAAUUGCUCCAUACUUUAACUUUCCCAUGUAUAAUAAGGCUGUUUAUUCAGUUUGAUUGAAUAAAUAUUUGCUGAGCACCUACUUAACCA
ensembl:lncRNA